AUGGGUGGCGUUACUUCUUCCAUGGCGGCCAAGUUUGCCUUCUUCCCGCCGAACCCACCUUCGUAUAAGCUCAUCACCGAUGAUCUUACUGGCCUUUUGCUUCUCAGCCCUUUUCCUCAUCGCGAAAAUGUUGAGGUUCUGAAACUCGCCACUCGCCGGAGCACCGAUAUCGUUGCAAUCUAUGUCCGGCAUCCUAUGGCGACUUCGACUCUGCUGUAUUCUCAUGGCAACGCUGCCGAUCUGGGUCAAAUGUAUGAGCUCUUCAUCGAGCUUAGCAUUCACCUGCGUGUUAAUCUAAUGGGGUACGAUUAUUCAGGUUACGGUCAAUCAUCUGGAAAGCCAUCUGAGCAAAAUACAUAUGCAGAUAUUGAGGCUGCAUAUAAGUAUCUCGAAGAAAGCUAUGGUACCAAGCAGGAGGAUAUCAUCCUAUAUGGUCAAUCUGUUGGGAGUGGCCCGACUUUGGAUCUUGCAGCUCGACUUCCUCGGCUAAGAGCUGUUGUUUUACAUAGUCCAAUACUUUCUGGACUAAGAGUCAUGUAUCCUGUAAAACGCUCUUACUGGUUUGAUAUUUAUAAGAACAUCGAUAAAAUUUCUCAGGUCAAUUGCCCUAUUCUCAUCAUUCAUGGAACCUCAGAUGACGUUGUUGAUUGCUCCCAUGGCAAGCAACUUUGGGAACUCUGUAAAGAGAAAUACGAACCACUGUGGCUAAAAGGUGGAAACCACUGUAAUCUGGAGCUCUAUCCUGAAUAUAUCAGGCAUCUAAAGAAGUUCGUAGCAACAGUCGAGAAACCUCCUUCUCAAAGAUACAGUGCCAGAAAGAGUACAGACCAAUAUGAGCAGCCACGGAAGAGCACAGAUUUUUUUGAGAUUCCAAGGAAGAGCACGGACUGGAGAGAAAAACCAAGGCGGAGCACUGAUCAACCAGAGAAGCUGAAGAAUCACUCAAGUGCUACUGAUAAGUUAGAAAAGCUCAGACUCUCCUUUAACCAUGGGGAAAGGUCUCGCAGAAGUGUUGAUUGCCAUGAAAAGUCACGGAAAAGCGUCGAUCACCAGUUGGAAAGAGCAAGAAAAAGCGUUGAUCGGCUUGAUAGAAUAUGGACUGGGUAAUUCUUCCUAUAGAUAGACUGCAAGAUUCAAGGAAUUGGGUGUGCAUUUGCAAGGAAAAGGCUAGGAAAACCCAACUGGCUCGAACAGUGUUUGAGUCCGAGGAAGCCUUAGAUUCGGCCCUUAGCAUAACAUCUCCAGCAUCUUCCCAUUGCCUCCCUUGACUCGGAGUAAAAAGAGGUGACAAAGACAGCCUAGCUAGAUGGUCUGAAUUCAAAAUGUAGAGAUGAUUAUUACAGAGAAGCCAUAGUCAAAGGUUGAUGAUGAUGAAAGGUUGUUUAUUUAAUCCCAAAAAGUGUUGGACAUUGAAGACAUUUUGGCUUUUGGAACAUGGGAAGAACAAGAAAAAAAGAAGCAUGCGCUGAUAUGAAGAAGACUGCAUUUGCAGGAAAUAAGAGGUGAGGAUUUGACUUUUUGUCUCAACUUCACUCUCUUUUUCAAAGCUUUCUUCUGCAGAAUCUAUGUGAUGUCUGGUCUCCUAAAACAACAUUAUGGAAUGCUUUCAAAGCAUGUCCCUUUCUGGCUGUCGUUUGACCUUAUAGUUCUUCCCACCCUUUGCUCAAUGCUCUUGAAAGGAUUAAUGGUAUCGGCUUCGAAAUCGUUCUUCGGUUUUUUAUGACAUGAGUUUUGCAUAUGAUCUUGUUUCAACUUAUUGUAACUAAUUUUUUCAACGUAUCUCAUAUUUGCCAAGUUUGUUUUGA